AGUCCGCUUGGGGGCAGGAAGUGGCCCGUUCCUUCUUUCGUAGAGCGUUUCCGGAGCGCCUACUGUGUGCUCGGCGCUGGGAGUGCGGGCCGUUACGGAGGGGAGAAGUCAUGCAAAACCUGACGCGUGUGGGAACGCUCCCUCCGCCACAUCUCCCCCCGGCGGUGGAAUUGUUCCCAUUGCACCGAGAGGAAACUGAGGCCCGGUUAGUCCGGGGAUUUCCUCCUAGCUGGUGAGGACCUGGCUCUGAAUGCGACGCCUCUUCUGCCCUCAGUGGCCGGUAGAGUCGGGUAGAAGGCUGCCUGGGACACAACCCCAAAGCACGUAGCUCCUGGGUCUAGGACACGAGUGGCGGCCAAAGGUAAAAACAGCGCUUAAGGAGUGUUUGUAACACAGCGAUGGCGAGCGAGACCCCUGCAGUGUUCAUUCUGGUGGAAGACUCCAAACAACUACAUGCCCUUCACCAGGAGCUGACUGCUUCACAGCAACUCUGGGAUGUUGUAAUGGGGUCCGGAGACAAACACUCGCCACUGUCCUCCAGCCCUAGGAGCACACCACCCCUGGCCGUCUGGAGAGGCUUCCACAGGAAAAGCUACCCUCCUGAGAGAUAAGAUUGAAAGAAAAAGCAAACCACCAAGCCUCGUGGUGGUAUGUCUUUAGUUCUUACCCAUCUUCUUAGAGGAUGUUUAAUAUAAAUAAAUCAAUGCUAAGAGA